UUUAGCUAUGAAGUAGCUACAUAACCUUGCGAUCAUAAUAAUAACAAAAGCGUCGCGGCUGAGUUUUGUUAUCAAAUAUUGUGUGUGCUCUAAUUCUGUUCCAAUAAAUGCACUGUUUUGUUGUGAUGUGGAAAACGUGAUUUAGCGUACAAUUUUCAAAGAAUGGGCGACAUAAGGGCCGGUCUCGAGGAAUUGAAACUCGACGGGGCCCUUUUCGCCGAUGUUAAAUACUACGUCAGCGGCGAAGGUGAUCCCAAGAUUUUAAAUUUACUACAAGAAGGAGGUGCAGAAAGAUCAAAUUAUUUUAGUGAUUUUGUUACACAUUUAAUAGCAGGCUAUGAUGCGUUGGAAAAUGAUAUAUCUGCUGCAAAGGAUAUCUAUGAAAUACCAGCAGUUACGCAGAAUUGGAUUUUAUAUUCUGUCAAAUGUAACAAACUUUUGCCACCACACUAUUUUUCACCUGAAGAUACACAAUUAUUUUCAAAUGUACGAGCAUGCAUAUCUCAGAUAAGUCGUGCAGACAGUAAGAGUCUAUGGGCGAUGAUCACUUUGCAAGGUGGUAAAUGUCAAUUACGUUUAGAUCGGUAUUGUACACAUUUAAUUACUGGGAAGGCAACUGGAUUGAAAUAUGAAACUGCGAUAAGGCAUCCGAUUCAAAUUGUAACGCCAGAUUGGGUAACAGAAUGCUGUAGAAAAGGAACGAUUGUAAAUGAAGUAGAAUACCACCCAAGACUUUUAAUAUACCCGAAUAGUUCUACAGCUCUUAUUACUGGUUUUAUGGAUGAAGAUACAGAAAAUAGUGCAGCGCAAGAAGAACAAGAUAGAACUAAAGCCAUGUUGGAACAACUUAAACAACGUAUGCCAUGGAAUCAACCAGUUUCAAGUCCACCUGUUUCUUCCAAUACUGCACAUAAUUUGAAUGCUGCUAAUGCACCGGUAACGACGAUUCCUUAUCCAACUAAUGGUCCCAAUAAUGUUAAUAACCAACAACAGCAACAACAUCUUCUACGACCAAUUGCUACGACAAGUUUGUCCAAUGCUUCUACAGUUGCAUCUUCUGUAUCGGAUCAAAAUGUUAAUCAAACAAAUUGGAUACCACAAGGCUCCCAACAAAAUAAUGUUGCUCAAAUAAAAUCUGUGCCGCCACAGCUGCAACAACAACAGCAACAACCACAACCACAACAAGAGUUAUCUCCUCAACAGCAACCACAACAGCAACAAAUGAAUGUACAACAUUCACUAUUACAACAACAACAAUUGAAUCAACAGCAGCAACAACAGUUAUCACAGCAACUUACACAACAUCAACAAUUACAACAACAAACAUACACUCAACAACAGCUUUUAAAUCAACAACCAUCUCCACAACUAGCAUCUCAACAACUCAUAAAUACACAACAACAACCACUCACACAGCAAUCAUUAAUACCACAACAACCACAGAUAAACUCACAAAUACCUCAACAUCAAAUAUCAUCACCUCAACAGUUACUAACCCAACAAAAACAAUUAAAUCAACAUCAAAUACUUUCACAACAACAAAUAAGUCAACAACAUUUAUCACAACAACAACAAAUCACUCCACAGCAACAAUUAGUUCAACAACAAGUGCAAUUAACGCCACAGCAGCAGCAACAGAUAGUUUUGCAGCAACAACAACUUCCUGCACAGCAACAGAUUGGAGCACAACCACAUCAGUUAAAUCAACCACAAGCUCCGCCGCAGCAGCUUACAUCCGAACAGCGGCAGCUCAUAUUACUACAACAACAACAACAGCAGCAACAGAAAAUACAACAAAUUUCACAGCAGCUGCAACAAUCUGCACCUCAGGGUUCACAACAAUUCGUUAUAAGAGACGGUCAGUUACAGCAACAGCCUCAAAAUCAGCAACUAAUGGGACCGAAUCAACAAGGUUUUAUCGUACAAAGAGAUUCUCAGUGGCAGCAACAACAAUAUCAUUUACAAUUGCAACGACAACAGCAACAGCAAAUAGGACCACAAAGACCUAGCGGACAAUGGACACAGCAGCCGCCACAACCGCCAAGGCAGUUGAUUCAACUGGACGCUCAAACCCACCAACAACUGCAGCAGAUGGAUCCUCAACAAAGAGCUCAGUUUAUUCAAAAGAUUCAGAAACAAAGAAACUUGUUGCUGCAGAGACAGAUGCAGAAUCGCCAAGCGCAACCAGGAGCACAUAUCGCUGUUAUAAGGAGUCCGGGUAAACCCGUGCAACCCGGUGGUUUGCAGUGGGUUCAGCAACCACGAUCGCAAAUGAUAGGACCACAAAUUGCUCAAACACCUGGCCAAAAACCGGUACACCCAGUGGUUCAACCACCAGCUUUGACGCCGAUCAACUCUUCUAACCAAGUAAUUGUGCAAACCGGACAAAACGUGCAGGGUCCACAGGCGGGUCAACCCGCCCAGGCGUUUCAGCAAGCUCAGCCUUUAACUCCUCAACACAUAGCGCAAUUACAUAUGCAGAAGCAGCAACAGAUCAGGUUGCAGCAGUUACAGCAUCUACAGCAACAACAACAGCAGCAGCAGCAGCAGCAACAACAACAGCAACAAGGCGCACAGCCAGAACCACCUUUGACUUCAUUGCCGAACAACGCUCAGAUACCGCCAGAUCAGCAGUUGGUUGUUAACGCAAAAACGAAAACUGCCUUAGCGAAUAUGCUGACGAACAGAUUGCAAGGUAGCGCAGCCGAAGGUAGUGCAGCUGGUCAGUUAAGAUUAAUGACCGCUCAACACAGACCACCACCUCCACCGUGCCAGGAUCCUCAACUUCUUGCCGCCUAUCAACGGAGAACUGUGGGGAACAUCGCAAACGGGGCACCACCAGGAGCUCCGAUAAAGAUGCAGUACGCUCCUGUUAUGCCUCAAGCUAAGGCUCAGUUCUAUGGCCACAAUCCAAAUCUAAAACUGCCACCAGAUCUGUUUUUGCUAGGUUGUAUCUUUGUUAUCGUCGAAUACGACGUGCAACGUCCAAACGACGUGUCCGUUUGGAAGCAAGUGAUCGAGAGACAUGGCGGAGAAGUGGAGCCUCAAUAUUGCACGCGGGCUACCCACGUGCUCGCGAUCACGCAGAAACAUCCAACCGUAGUGCAGGCAUUACGUGAAGGGAAACGUUGUGUCAGCGCACACUGGCUGUCAGAUGUUGUCAAUAAACAGCAGGUACUACCACCUUGGCACGCGCUGCAUUUUCCAACGCCAUUCAGCUUGACAGAGCUUCCGUGCGCGAAACAAAUUGUAUCGUUGUCUGGAUUUGAAGGGGAGGAACGCGCGAAAGUGAAGUACAUGCUGGAAGCGCUGGGAGCUAAGGUUACCAAUUACUUCACCAGGCACAAUACGCUCCUCGUUUGCAGAAGACCAGACGGUCAAAAAUACAAAAAGGCUCGAGAAUGGCAAACUGGAGUUGUGAACGCUCAGUGGUUGACGGAUUUGUUGUGCGGGCAAAUGAACGCGCUACAUCAAACCGAAAAUCCAAAAUACCAGCAGUACAGUUUGAGCAAUCCUUUCAGAUUGGAUUAUUCGCUAGUACCUCUUUUAAUGGGUGCAUGGAAAAUGCCAAUAAAUAUUACUCAGGAAUCAUACGAUAAAGUAAAACAGGUUGGUCAGGGUCCAAAUUCGAUACGAAAAUACAAGAAGCCACGGUUAGAUGUCCCGUUGCUGAAUAAAGAUCCACAUUUAUUGGGCUUAGAUGAACCAAUUGUUGUGAGCAAUCCUGAUCCACCGGCUCCAGAUAAACAACCGAGAAUAUUAUUCUCUGGUAUUAAUCCUAGGAAGCAUGCGAAGAGAAUUCGGGAGUUAGGUGGUGCGCUGGCAGCCAGUUGGAGAGAUGCAACUCAUCUCGUGAUGUCAACACCUUUGAGAACUGUAAAGUUAUUGUGUUGUCUAUCACGUUGUAAAUAUAUUGUCACGUUACAGUGGUUAUUAGAUUGUUCCGCAAGGAACACGUUUUUAGAUGAAAGCGGUUACACGCUUGGAAAUCCAGAAUUCGAAAAGAAUUUUGCUUGUAAUAUUGAAAAGGCUCUGGCGAGCCCCAAUCGAGGAACAGUACUUAAGAUACUUGUUAAUAGACUUUUGGAUAUCAAUAAUUACUGUCUAAAAAUAAUUGAAUUGAUCUAUAAUCAUUAAUGAUUACUGUGUAAGUCAAUUUAAUUCAUUACUAUCGUUUUAUGAAGCGAUGAUACUACUGGUCUGCAAGCGGUAGGGUAAAAUAUUUUAUGUUACACCAAGUGUAAUACCUUCGCCACCAGCGAUGGCAGAAAUAAUCGAAAGU
rnacentral:misc_RNA from 1 species